rnacentral:rRNA from 1 species
UACGUAGGGACCAAGCGUUGUUCGGAUUUACUGGGCGUAAAGGGCGCGUAGGCGGCUUAACAAGUCACUUGUGAAAUCUCUGGGCUUAACCCAGAACGGCCAAGUGAAACUGUUAUGCUAGAGUGCAGAAGGGGCAAUCGGAAUUCUUGGUGUAGCGGUGAGAUGCGUAGAUAUCAAGAGGAACACCUGAGGUGAAGACGGGUUGCUGGGCUGACACUGACGCUGAGGCGCGAAAGCCAGGGGAGCAAACGGG